rnacentral:rRNA from 1 species
UACGGAGGGUGCAAGCGUUAUCCGGAUUUACUGGGUUUAAAGGGUGCGCAGGCGGAUAUGUAAGUCAGUGGUGAAAUCUCUAGGCUUAACCUGGAAAUUGCCGUUGAUACUAUAUAUCUUGAAUGUUGUGGAGGUAAGCGGAAUAUGUCAUGUAGCGGUGAAAUGCUUAGAUAUGACAUAGAACACCAAUUGCGAAGGCAGCUUACUACACAGUUAUUGACACUGAGGCACGAAAGCGUGGGGAUCAAACAGG